UACGUAGGGUGCAAGCGUUGUCCGGAAUUAUUGGGCGUAAAGAGCUCGUAGGCGGUCUGUCGCGUCGGCUGUGAAAACCCGUGGCUCAACCCCGGGCCUGCAGUCGAUACGGGCAGACUAGAGUGCGGUAGGGGAGACUGGAAUUCCUGGUGUAGCGGUGAAAUGCGCAGAUAUCAGGAGGAACACCGGUGGCGAAGGCGGUUCUCUGGGCCUGUACUGACGCUGAGGAACGAAAGCGUGGGGAGCGAACAGG
rnacentral:rRNA from 1 species